AGCGGCGAACGGGUGAGUAAUGCAUCGGAACAUGUCCAUGUCGUGGGGGAUAGCCCGGCGAAAGCCGGAUUAAUACCGCAUGUGCCCGAGAGGGGAAAGUGGGGGACCGCAAGGCCUCACGCGAUUGGGUUGGCCGAUGUCCGAUUAGCUAGUUGGCGGGGUAAGAGCCCACCAAGGCGAUGAUCGGUAGCUGGUCUGAGAGGAUGAUCAGCCACACUGGGACUGAGACACGGCCCAGACUCCUACGGGAGGCAGCAGUGGGGAAUUUUGGACAAUGGGGGCAACCCUGAUCCAGCCAUUCCGCGUGAGUGAAGAAGGCCUUCGGGUUGUAAAGCUCUUUUGUCCGGAACGAAACGGUGAACGUGAAUAUCGUUCGCUACUGACGGUACCGGAAGAAUAAGCACCGGCUAACUACGUGCCAGCAGCCGCGGUAAUACGUAGGGUGCGAGCGUUAAUCGGAAUUACUGGGCGUAAAGCGUGCGCAGGCGGUUUUGUAAGCCAGAUGUGAAAUCCCCGGGCUUAACCUGGGAAUGGCAUUUGGGACUGCAAGGCUGGAGUGUGGCAGAGGAGACUGGAAUUCCUGGUGUAGCAGUGAAAUGCGUAGAUAUCAGGAGGAAUACCGAUGGCGAAGGCAGGUCUCUGGGCUGACACUGACGCUCAUGCACGAAAG
rnacentral:rRNA from 1 species